rnacentral:misc_RNA from 1 species
AAGUCGUAACAAGGUUUCCGUAGGUGAACCUGCGGAAGGAUCAUUAACACUAAAACGUUAGUUUGUUUGGGUUUGACUCGUAAAAAGGUUGAACUCAGGCGAAUUAAUACCCACCAAACCGUGCUCCUUUGUAUUAACAAAUUCUCUCUCAGUUGAAUAGAUGAUUCUUAGAUGGGGUAGACGUUCGCAAGGACGGAUCUUUGAAUCGCUCUACAUGUCUAUUCUCUUGAGAUUUAUCGAGACUACCUUGGCCUUUGUAUGAGUGGUCAAACACUUGUACUCUGGUUAACCCCCCAAUUUUAUUUCACCCCAUUUCACCCCCUAUUCUAGUUAUACAUUCGUCUAACAAUGUUCAUGAGUCAGAAAUGUCUCCUCUGAACGCCUUUAUAUCAACGCUGAACAACUCUUAGCAAUGGAUAUCUUGGCUCUG